AGGGUUAGGCUAACUUAAACAAAAGCCUCCCUUCCUAGCGUAAGGGAGAGUGAAAAUCUUCCAACCCUUG
rnacentral:tRNA from 1 species